ensembl:misc_RNA Metazoa_SRP Metazoan signal recognition particle RNA
GCUGGGUGCUAUAACACAUGCCUGCAGCCCCAGCUACUCGAGAGGUUGAUGAAGGAGGAUCCAUCCCUUAAGCCCAGGAGUUCUGGGCUGAAGUGUGCUAUGCCAAUGCGUUGUCUGCACUAAGUUUGGCAUCAAUAUGGUGACCUCCCAGGAGCUGGGAACCACCAGGUUGCCUAAGGGAGGGUAAACCGGCCUAGGUCAGAAGCAGAACAGAUCUAAACUCCCAUGCUGAUCAGUAGUGGGAUUGCACCUGUGAAUAGCUACUGCAUUCCAGCCUGGGCAACAUAGCAAGACCCCAACUCCAA